ensembl:lncRNA
UCCUGAUCAGGAUGUGCAGAUUCAGUCCGUGUGUUUUGCCUAACAGGUCCACAACCUUUAAAAUUAACACUUUAAUCUUCAGUGACAGACAAACUCUUCCCAAAGUGCACAAAUAUUAAGUAAACCGGUUGUAAUGAAAGCAGUUUCUGUCAAGUUUUUUAAUGCUGUGAUUCAGUGAUUUGAGAAUUACAGAAUGGAUUUGAGAAUUACAGAAUGAAUGUUGAAUUCUUAAAAAUGCUGUGCUGUGCUCAGACACUCAGUUGUGUCCAACUCUUUGCAAUGCCAUGGACUAUAGACCAUCAGACUCCUCUGUCCAUGGAUUCUCCAGGCAAGAAUACUGGAGUGGGGUGCCAUUUCCUCCUCCAGGGGAUCUUCCUGACCCAGAGAUCGAGUCCAUGUCUCUUACAACUACUGUACUGGCAGAUGGAUUCUUUACUACUAGGGCCACUUGGGAAGCCCCUUUUUAUAAAUAACCUAGUUCUGUUUCUAAUUGUGCUUAACAUUUACUUGUGGCCCAACGUAUGUUGAGUUUUUCUUUCCCUGGGUUUUCCAUAGUAAAAUGACAAGCUACUGUCCACAAGAAUAAAAUUUUUAUUAUGGGGUCAUAUUUACUCCAGUGAGUGCAAUGAUUUAAGGAUCUGGUUGUCAGGCCGUACUAGCUUGAAUUACUUACUAAUACAUGGCCUUGGGUAAAUCUUAUGACUCCCUUCCCCCAUCUACUAAGUGGUCAAAUAAUAGUUCUUACCUCCGUGAAUUGUUGUGAUGAUUCACUGAGAUUGUUUAGAAUGAAGUGAAGCAAAAGUCACUCAGUUGUGUCCAACUUUUGCGACCCCCUGGACUAUACAUACAGUCCAUGGAAUUCUCCAGGGACUGUAUAGACUAUGGGAUCGCAAAGAGUUGGACACGACUGAGCGACUUUCACUUUAUUGCUUUCAAAGAAAAUAUUUUAUUUGGAUGUGCAGGGUGUUAGUUGAGGUACAUGAGACCUUUAAUCUUCGCAGCAUGUGAGAUCUUCAAUUGGGGCAUGCAGACUCUUAGUUGGGGCAUACAGGAUCUAGUUCCCUGAGCAGGGAUCGAACCCAGGUCCCCCUGCAUUGGGAGAAGUGUCUUAGGCCCUGGACCACCAGGGAAGUCCCCCGUAUUAUUGCUUUUACCUCGUAUUUACUGAAUGCCUCUUCUUUCCACCCUAAUCCACUGCCAUAGUUGCAGCGCUCACUGUCUCACUGAUGACUGCCAUAGCCUUUAGCAAUUAUCUUAUUUGCUUAUGUUCCCACUACUCCAUUUUUCUCAAAGAAUGAGAAAAACCUUUUAAAGUACAGGUAGAGACAGAACUGUGUCUCAGUCCUGCUUUAAAACUUUUAAGUGGUUCCCAGCAGGUGGCAGGAAAAGAAGUAACUCUUUCCUGUGGUCUACAGGUUCCUCACAUUUGUCCCUUACUCCCC